rnacentral:rRNA from 1 species
UUUAAAUGAAGACCAGAACAAAAGAUUUAACGUUUAAACUUAUAUUUAUAUUUAAAUAUUCAAACUUAUCCUAAAUGUAAAAAGACAUUUAUAAAAAAGAAAGACGACAAGACCCUAUUGAACUUAACUUAAGUUUAACUGGGGCAGUUUAUUAAUUAUAACUUUAAUUUAAUUAAAAAAAAAAAUAACCCAAUAAAAUUGAAAUGAUCAAGUUACCAUAGGGAUAACAGCGUAAUAAUUAUUUAAAGCUCUUAUAAAAAUAAUAGCUUGCGACCUCGAUGUUGAAUUAAUAACCUAAUUUAGAGUAAAAACUAAUCAAGGAAGUCUGUUCGACUUUUAAAAAAUUACAUGAUUUGAGUUCAGACCGGUGUAAACCAGGUCGGUUUCUAUCUUCUAAUCAAAUUUUUACAGUACGAAAGGGCCUAAAAAACUAAUUUAAUUAAUUAAUUGGCAGAAAAAUGCAUUAGAAUUAGAAUCUAAUAAAACUUCUAUUCCGUUUAUAUUAUCAUAUCUAAUAAUUACUAUUAGA